UGGGGAAUAUUGCACAAUGGGCGAAAGCCUGAUGCAGCGACGCCGCGUGAGGGAUGACGGCCUUCGGGUUGUAAACCUCGUUCAGUAGGGACGAAGCGCAAGUGACGGUACCUGCAGAAGAAGCACCGGCUAACUACGUGCCAGCAGCCGCGGUAAUACGUAGGGUGCGAGCGUUGUCCGGAAUUACUGGGCGUAAAGAGCUCGUAGGCGGUUUGUCACGUCGUCUGUGAAAUCCUAGGGCUUAACCCUGGACGUGCAGGCGCUACGUGCUGACUUGAGUACUACAGGGGAGACUGGAAUUUCUGGUGUAGCGGUGGAAUGCACAGAUAUCAGGAAGAACACCGAUGGCGAAGGCAGGUCUCUGGGUAGUAACUGACGCUGAGGAGCGAAAGCAUGGGUAGCGAACAGG
rnacentral:rRNA from 1 species